CUGGCUUCGCAGGUUCUGUUGGCUUUGUAGGUGCAGGUUCUUCUGCUGGCUUUUUAGGUUCUGUUGGCUUUGUAGGUGCAGGUUCUUCUGCUGGCUUCGCAGGUUCUGUUGGCUUCGUAGGUGCAGGUUGUUCUGCUGGCUUUGCAGGUUCUGCUGGCUUUGUAGGAGCAGGUUCUUCUGCUGGCUUCGCAGGUUCUGUUGGCUUUGUAGGUGCGGGUUCAUCUGCUGGCUUUGCA